CCUACGGGAGGCAGCAGUAGGGAAUAUUGGUCAAUGGGCGAAACCCUGAAGCAGCAAAGCCGCGUGGAGGAUGAAGGUUCUAGGAUUCGUAAAUCCUUUUUUUAGGGAAGAUUAUGACGGUAUCUAACGCAUAAGCACCGGCUAACUCCGUGCCAGCAGCCGCGGUAAUACGGCGGGUGCAGGCGUUACCCGGAAUCACUGGGCGUAAAGGGUGCGUAGGGGGGGUAAUAAGUCAGAGGUGAAAUCCUGUAGCUUAACUAGAGAACUGCAGUUGAAACUGUUAAUCUGGAGUGUGGUAGAGGUAGGCGGAAUUCUUGGUGUAGGGGUAAAAUCCGUAGAGAUCAAGAGGAAUACUCAUUGCGAAGGCGACCUGCUGGAACAUGACUGACGCUGAUGCACGAAAGCGUGGGGAGCAAACAGGAUUAGAUACCCGGGUAGUC
rnacentral:rRNA from 1 species